GACUUUGGGGUAAAUCAAUUGAAUUAAAACAGUUUUUGUUUCAAGCUUUAUGGUCUGAGGGCCAUUUUCCUUCCUGGGUCUGAUUCCAGAAGUGGGUCUUGUGGCACCGGUGUUUUCUUGCCUCGUGGAACCGACAACCCUUCAGAUUCACGCAAGAAACAGGGAUGCUCCACUGCCCUUAUACCAGCCAGAGUAGCCUAGGCCCUGAAACUCAACUUUGAUGAAAUGGGUGUUGUAUCACCAUCACUGGGUGGCCGUUUCUCUCUGCAACAUGAUGCGGCACCAGGGCGAAGGAACAGCCUGUAUCCACCGCAGAAGCAGCACUGGCCGGCGCCUCCUGCAAUGAAGCACCGGGAGAUGGAUGUUCCUCGGGGAUGAACUCACUGACACUUGAUGAAGCCCCUGUAAUCUUAUGAUGAAAUGCUCAAGUCACAUAGAAAAAAGGAAAAGGAAAAAAAUGAUAGACAAUGAUCAAAAGCAAAAUAUUGCUGAGAUUUUUCUUCUUUGGUUUUUCAGGAUUUCAGGGGUGAGAAUUUGGAAAAAGGAAAUGAAUAAAAGUUGUCUGGGAGGGAAAAGUAGAGAGUCUAUAAGGGUUAUCAUUAGGAAUGAUGAUGAUUUAGGUACGAUUAGUGGUUGGUGGGGGGCGGGGAUUGGCCUUUUGGAAAAGCGCUUGUAAUAAUGUUAGAGAUGUUAACAAAAGAGAGUUGCCCUGCUUACAUCUCUUUGUUUCCUCUCUUCUACCAGUACCAUUUUAGCUUUCAAUAAUUUCCCCUUAUUUUUUGUAUGGUCAAGAAAAUGUUUGUUGUGAAACUAAAAAUUGUUCCUUGAAAUUUGCCCCUUUGUUUAUGCAGCAGUAUGUGUAUUGCCCUUGGAAUAUAAUCAUCAAAAUGUGACGUGAAA